rnacentral:tRNA from 1 species
GGCCAGGUAGCUCAGUUGGUAGAGCAAGGGACUGAAAAUCCCUGUGUCGGCGGUUCGAUCCCGUCCCUGGCCACCA